rnacentral:rRNA from 1 species
UGGGGGGCCUACGGGAGGCAGCAGUGGGGAAUAUUGCACAAUGGGGGAAACCCUGAUGCAGCGACGCAGCGUGCGGGAUGACGGCCUUCGGGUUGUAAACCGCUUUCAGCAGGGAAGAAGCCUUGAUCGGUGACGGUACCUGCAGAAGAAGUACCGGCUAACUACGUGCCAGCAGCCGCGGUAAUACGUAGGGUACAAGCGUUGUCCGGAAUUAUUGGGCGUAAAGAGCUCGUAGGUGGUUGGUCACGUCUGCUGUGGAAACGCAACGCUUAACGUUGCGCGUGCAGUGGGUACGGGCUGACUAGAGUGCAGUAGGGGAGUCUGGAAUUCCUGGUGUAGCGGUGAAAUGCGCAGAUAUCAGGAGGAACACCGGUGGCGAAGGCGGGACUCUGGGCUGUAACUGACACUGAGGAGCGAAAGCAUGGGGAGCGAACAGGAUUAGAUACCCUGGUAGUCCAUGCCGUAAACGUUGGGCACUAGGUGUGGGGGACAUUCCACGUUCUCCGCGCCGUAGCUAACGCAUUAAGUGCCCGCGCC